rnacentral:rRNA from 1 species
UACGGGGGGGGCAAGCGUUGUUCGGAAUUACUGGGCGUAAAGGGCUCGUAGGUGGCCAACUAAGUCAGACGUGAAAUCCCUCGGCUUAACCGGGGAACUGCGUCUGAUACUGGAUGGCUUGAGUUUGGGAGAGGGACGCGGAAUUCCAGGUGUAGCGGUGAAAUGCGUAGAUAUCUGGAGGAACACCGGUGGCGAAGGCGGCGUCCUGGACCAACACUGACACUGAGGAACGAAAGCUAGGGGAGCAAACAGG